AGUGAACGCUGGCGGUAGGCCUAACACAUGCAAGUCGAACGGCAGCACAGUAAGAGCUUGCUCUUACGGGUGGCGAGUGGCGGACGGGUGAGGAAUACAUCGGAAUCUACUUUUUCGUGGGGGAUAACGUAGGGAAACUUACGCUAAUACCGCAUACGACCUACGGGUGAAAGCAGGGGAUCUUCGGACCUUGCGCGAUUGAAUGAGCCGAUGUCGGAUUAGCUAGUUGGCGGGGUAAAGGCCCACCAAGGCGACGAUCCGUAGCUGGUCUGAGAGGAUGACCACCCACACUGGAACUGGGACACGGUCCAGACCCCUACGGGGGGCAGGAGUGGGGAAUAUUGGACAAGGGGCGCAAGCCUUAUCCACCCAUACCGCGUGGGGGAAGAAGGCCUUGGGGUUGUAAAGCCCUUUUGUUGGGAAAAAAAAGCAGCAGGUUAAUCCCCCGCUGUUCUGGCGGUACCCAAAGAAUAAGCACCGGCUAACUUCG
rnacentral:rRNA from 1 species